AACAUUCUUAGUCACACCGAGCUGUUGCUUCUAUUACUAUAACAAGUAAUAAUAUACCUUUUACAGCAGUUCAUAACUUCUUAGAUAUUCUUUCUCAGAUUGCUAUUAACUUAUCACAUAUGUCGACAGCCAACCUACCUUUCCCAUCCAGCCAGUAUUGAUUAUCAUGAAGUACCAACUAAGUGAUUCUCAAGACUUUUUGCAAAAUUUUUGAAAGACUGUAUCAUGGGAUAAUUACAUAUCUAAAUUGUUGAUUGCUAUGCAUCCAAGGUUAUUGCCUGGGGUGUCUGAGUGGCCAUUCCCCUUUCACAAUCCUCAGAGACCUUGACCUUGCAAUAGCUUAAACAGCUCAUUGCCCCUUGGUCCAGAAACACUUCAUCUACACAUUGCUCAUGCAUUACUGUCCUGGGUCUCCUGCUUUUCUGUUCUACUCUUCUCUGCCUCUCUCACUCUAUCUUGUUCCCACAUGUAGACUUUCUUCAGGUUCCAUUUUUGGCAUAUUUCCUAGCCUUGCCUAUGGCUCUGAUCUUUUUGUAUCUCCUCUCAUUUCUUCUGACCAAUUUCUUCUCAGCAACCUUAUGUUGUCCCGCGAUUCCUAGUACUCCUUUAUAAGGACAAUUCUGAAUCUGAACCGAGCUGAGAUACCUGUAGUCAUUCAUUUCUAACACCUGGUUUCUUGUUUCUCAAGAAUGUCCCAUGAGUCUCCAACUCGGUUUGACUAUAUUUGAAUUAAUUGUUGCUAAACCUUUUCCUGAUUCAGUAGCAUUCCCCUUGUCUGAUCACCAAGACCUGUAGAUUCAAUCUCUGGAAGACCUUAAGACACCAUUCCACAUCUCCAAGGCUCUGAUCCUAUCACACAGGCUCCCGUUCUAUUCCUUGGACACACCAGGUACCCUUCUGACACUUCUCUGAGGUGUAUAUAGCACUGAGUCCUCUUCUUCAAAUGUCAAAAAGUCUCUACUGAAUGGCCCUAUUUGAAACGGUCAUUGUCCCCACUCCUCAUUUUCUAUUACCUUCCAACAUGUCACACAAUUCACUGAUGUAUUAAAUUUAUUUUAUUUUUAUAGCUUUUCCUAUAAAACGUAAGUUCCAUGAAGGCAUAUAUUUUUGUCUCUUUUGUUCAGUGAUGUAUCCCAAGAAUUCAGAUUGAUUCUUUAUACACAGCUGACACUCAGUAAAUAUUGAAUGAGUGAAUGGUGCGAUAUUAGAACUUAAAGGAAAUACUUCAAAAAUUCUGCUGCUUGUGGUUCCUGGCCUGGAGUCUCUGGGAAUCAUAAGGGAAUCUCAUAGUUCUUCCCAUAAUUUUCAGGAAGCCUAAAGAAAGGAUGAUGCUCAUUUAAUCAGACCGUGGAGUGUCAAUUAUACUUCUGCAAAAAAUGUAAUUGGAAUCCCCAGAAAUAGGUUUGUUCCAACGACAACCUCUUUUAUGUCUUCUAUUUUAGUCUUAUGUGGAAGCUCACAUCACAUUACCAUUCAUUAAAUCAUUCAUUGAUUUCACAAGCAUUCCUUGGGUGCUUACUACAUAUGUUCAAGGAACACAUCAAGAAGUGCAAAAAGUUACCAGAAAUGUAAUCUCUUAAGGAAAGUUACAGUGUCACAUAAGGAUUGGCCUUGUGAGAUGAAAAACAGAUUCAGAAGCUUUGUGUUUUUUUUGUUUGUUUGUUUGUUUGUUUUUGAUGACUUCAGGGAAGUUGCCAGUAAUUGUGUUUUGGGGCAUACAGAGAAGGUGUUAGGGGAAAUCUUGUUGUCACACUGUCCAGCAGCCCUGGUGGUCUCUCACUCCCUAAUACUAGUUCAAAGCACCAUAUAGAAGCUCAUUCCCACCAUGCUGAGAAUUCACACAGAAAUUCGAUAAUUAUGGUUUCAUUAUUCUGAGCAAUUACAAAGUUUACAUAUAUUAUUUCAAACAUCAGGAAAGAGGACAUGAUAAGUAAACAUCUAAAAUGAUUUCUGUUUAUUCAGAUAUUUUCUAGCAGAGUCAGAAAACCCACACUGAUAAUCAAGCCCAGUCUAUUUUAUUUCUCAUCUGACACUUCAUGGGGAGCUUUGGGAAUGUCAGCAUGGCUCCAGCUUUUGAUUGGACUCUGAAUUUUAGUCUGUAUCCCAAACUACUCAAAACAAGUUUAUCCUCAUCCCUUUAUAAAUGAUCCUCAAGUUAAAAUUUCAUUAACACUAGAUCAGUGGGAAGGAUAGCGUUGUGUGCAGAAAUGAGCCAGGUGUGUUUCGCAGGCUGUGGCUAUGAGAGAGCUCCCUGGGCAAAGAUGAGAGCAGCCCAAGGUAACUUUGGGCGGAUGCAGUCUUGAGAGAGGAAGGAGAGAGUUAAGUGUUAAGAUACAUUCAGCUUAGCAAGAAACAAGAUACACCUUCUGUUUUUCUAUUUCACCUUUUACCUCAUUCACUUUGGCAGAUGCUCAGGUUAUUCCUUGAUUAAAAUGCUUCAUCUGCUCCUGUAAGACUUUUGACAAAAUACAUGCUUAUUUCAAAAAGUUCACAGAACACAGAAUUUAAAAAUAAGCUUAUUUUGGUUCAAAAAUUAGAACUCCAUAUAUAUGAGAGGUUUUCAAAAAUAUCAUGAAAAACAUAUAUUAUGAAAAAAAACCUAUGUAUAGUUUCCACGUUUUUACCAAAAUAAAUUUGCAUUCUGUUUCCAUUUUCCAUAUACUUUUUUUUGUUUACUUGUUGGAGUCAUUUUUAAUUUAACGUGUUACAGAGUUUAUUGAUCUCUACAGCUAUAAUUUCCUGUGUCCUUGAUAUGCUAUUUUCUCCAUUGCUUAUUCCACUUAGAAUAUCCUCAUUUGCCUAACUACCACCUGUUUUUUAAGACCUGAGUCAACCAACAUCACCUCCAGAAGGUCUCCCCAGAUCUAGUCAGCUGAGGCUGAUACUUCUCUUCCGUGAUCUCUCAAUGCCUAUUGUAUCCUUCUAGCAUUGCACUCAUCACGUAGUACUAUAUCAGCUAGCUUGCUUCUGAUUGCUUCGCCAUUUGCUAAUCAUAUCAUCUUUUCCGGUAGCUAUUAGAGUACUGCAAAAUGCCUGUGGGAAAAUGGAAUUAGAAGAUAUGUUUUGAUGUAAAAACAAAUUUGAAAUCCUUGCAUAGUUCUUCAUAAUAUGUAUUUUCCAUGAUUUUUUUGGGUGUAUUGCUUGUAUUGGUUCAAUGACUGAAUGACUAUAUGAAUAAAUGACAAGAAAGACUUUGGAACCUCUAGAGGCUGUCAGAUGACAAAUUUACAAGCUUCUGGCAUGCUGAGAUAGCCACAUUUGGGGUAUUCAACUUGUGCUCUCAUUUUUUCUUGGGAGAGAGCCUGGAAACGUUCCAAAGCAGGUGAAAUUUUUUCAGUACUUUAUAUCUGCUCUUCCUCCCUGCACUUGGAUUCCCUUGUCCUGAUCUCUCUGCCUAUUAUCCAAUGACCUUAAAACAAAGGUCCUACUGAGCUAUGAGUGACACUGUGUUAUAAAUUCUAGAGUUCCUACACCUUUACAGAAUUUCAUGGAAACAAGAGGGCAGUGCUUAGUCCAAAAGAAAACAA